rnacentral:rRNA from 1 species
AUACGUAGGGUGCAAGCGUUAUCCGGAAUUAUUGGGCGUAAAGGGCUCGUAGGCGGUUCGUCGCGUCCGGUGUGAAAGUCCAUCGCUUAACGGUGGAUCUGCGCCGGGUACGGGCGGGCUGGAGUGCGGUAGGGGAGACUGGAAUUCCCGGUGUAACGGUGGAAUGUGUAGAUAUCGGGAAGAACACCAAUGGCGAAGGCAGGUCUCUGGGCCGUUACUGACGCUGAGGAGCGAAAGCGUGGGGAGCGAACAGGAUUAGAUACCCUGGUAGUCCACGCCGUAAACGGUGGAUGCUGGAUGUGGGGCCCGUUCCACGGGUUCCGUGUCGGAGCUAACGCGUUAAGCAUCCCGCCUGGGGAGUACGGCCGCAAGGCUAAAACUCAAAGAAAUUGACGGGGGCCCGCACAAGCGGCGGAGCAUGCGGAUUAAUUCGAUGCAACGCGAAGAACCUUACCUGGGCUUGACAUGUUCCCGACCGCGGCAGAGAUGUCGUUUCCCUUCGGGGCGGGUUCACAGGUGGUGCAUGGUCGUCGUCAGCUCGUGUCGUGAGAUGUUGGGUUAAGUCCCGCAACGAGCGCAACCCUCGCCCUGUGUUGCCAGCACGUCAUGGUGGGAACUCACGGGGGACCGCCGGGGUCAACUCGGAGGAAGGUGGGGAUGACGUCAGAUCAUCAUGCCCCUUACGUCCAGGGCUUCACGCAUGCUACAAUGGCCGGUACAACGGGAUGCGACACGGCGACGUGGAGCGGAUCCCUGAAAACCGGUCUCAGUUCGGAUUGGAGUCUGCAACCCGACUCCAUGAAGGCGGAGUCGCUAGUAAUCGCGGAUCAGCAACGCCGCGGUGAAUGCGUUCCCGGGCCUUGUACACACCGCCCGUCAAGUCAUGAAAGUGGGUAGCACCCGAAGCCGGUGGCCUAACCCUUUGUGGAUGGAGCCGUCUAAGGUGAGACUCGUGAUUGGGACU